rnacentral:rRNA from 1 species
UACAGAGGUCCCGAGCGUUGUUCGGAUUCAUUGGGCGUAAAGGGUGCGUAGGCGGUUUGCUAAGUUUGAUGUGAAAGCCCGGGGCUCAACCCUGGAAUUGCAUUGAAUACUGGCGGACUAGAGUACUGGAGAGGAAACUGGAAUUUACGGUGUAGCAGUGAAAUGCGUAGAGAUCGUAAGGAAGACCAGUGGCGAAGGCGAGUUUCUGGACAGUUACUGACGCUGAGGCACGAAGGCCAGGGGAGCAAACGGA